CCUACGGGUGGCAGCAGUGGGGAAUAUUGGUCAAUGGCCGCAAGGCUGAACCAGCCAAGUCGCGUGAAGGAUGACUGCCCUGAGGGUUGUCGACUUCUUUUGUCACGGCAUAAAAGGUCGCACGGGUCCCUUUUUGUGGGUACCUUAUGAAUCAGGAUCGGCUAACUCCGUGCCCGCAGCCGCGGUAAUACGGAGGAUCCGAGCGUUAUCCGGAGUUAUUGGGUUUAAAGGGAGCGUCGGUGGGUCGUUAAGUCAGGUGUGAAAGUUGGCGGCUAAACCGUAACAGUGCAGGUGAUACUGGAGGUCUUGAGUACAGGUGAGGCAGGCGGAAUUCGCGGGGUAGCGGUGAAAUGCGUAGAUAUCACGAAGAACCCCGAUUGCGAAGGCAGCUUACUGAACUGCCACUGACACUGAGGCUCGAAAGCGUGGGGAUCAAACAGGAUUAGAUACCCGAGUAGUC
rnacentral:rRNA from 1 species